rnacentral:rRNA from 1 species
AACGAACGCUGGCGGCAUGCCUAACGCAUGCAAGUCGAACGAGACCUUCGGGUCUAGUGGCGCACGGGUGCGUAACGCGUGGGAACCUGCCCUUAGGUUCGGAAUAACUCCCCGAAAGGGGUGCUAAUACCGGAUAAUGUCUUUGGACCAAAGAUUUAUCGCCUUUGGAUGGGCCCGCGUUGGAUUAGCUAGUUGGUAGGGUAAAAGCCUACCAAGGCGACGAUCCAUAGCUGGUCUGAGAGGAUGAUCAGCCACACUGGGACUGAGACACGGCCCAGACUCCUACGGGAGGCAGCAGUGGGGAAUAUUGGACAAUGGGCGAAAGCCUGAUCCAGCAAUGCCGCGUGAGUGAUGAAGGCCUUAGGGUUGUAAAGCUCUUUUACCCGGGAUGAUAAUGACAGUACCGGGAGAAUAAGCUCCGGCUAACUCCGUG